rnacentral:rRNA from 1 species
AUUGAACGCUAGCGGGAUGCUUUACACAUGCAAGUCGAACGGCAGCGCGGACUUCGGUCUGGCGGCGAGUGGCGAACGGGUGAGUAAUGUAUCGGAACGUGCCCAGUAGCGGGGGAUAACUACGCGAAAGCGUAGCUAAUACCGCAUACGCCCUACGGGGGAAAGCAGGGGAUCGUAAGACCUUGCACUAUUUUAGCGGCCGAUAUCGGAUUAGCUAGUUGGUGAGGUAACGGCUCACCAAGGCGACGAUCCGUAGCUGGUUUGAGAGGACGACCAGCCACACUGGGACUGAGACACGGCCCAGACUCCUACGGGAGGCAGCAGUGGGGAAUUUUGGACAAUGGGGGCAACCCUGAUCCAGCCAUCCCGCGUGUGAGAUGAAGGCCUUCGGGUUGUAAAGCACUUUUGGCAGGAAAGAAACGUCGCGGGCUAAUACCCCGUGGAACUGACGGUACCUGCAGAAUAAGCACCGGCUAACUACGUG